CACCAUUUUUAUCUUCACCAGCCUGUUGAAUGCAUGGAAACUGAGCAAAGGAGCAGUGGAAACUCUUACGUGUUCAUCCUCAAGUUCUAUCCAAAUCGGUUCAACCACCACAACCUUUCAAUUUGGAGAUGGCAAGACAACCUAUAAUACGCUGCUGUCAUGUACAUGGACUUUCACAGCUUCUGAUCUGUCUGCAAGGCUUGUCAUUGGACAACGAUUAAAGUGUGGGGAUGGCGACGAACUAUCAUUACGCGACGGAGGUGGUGUACCUACAACAAUUUCUUGCUGUGUUGACUGCACAAAAACUCCAAAAGUAACAGGACCUACAGCAACGAUCGGCUUCACCUCAGACGGGACUCGAAAUCCCAAUGACAUAGGAUUCUAUCUUGACAUAUUUGCUGGGAAAG